rnacentral:rRNA from 1 species
GUAGUCCACGCCCUAAACGAUGUCGACUAGGUGUUGGGGAAGGAGACUUCCUUAGUACCGCAGCUAACGCGUGAAGUCGACCGCCUGGGGAGUACGGUCGCAAGAUUAAAACUCAAAGGAAUUGACGGGGACCCGCACAAGCGGUGGAUGAUGUGGAUUAAUUCGAUGCAACGCGAAGAACCUUACCUACCCUUGACAUGGUCGGAAGCCUCUCGAGACGGAGGCGUGCCCGAAAGGGAGCCGACACACAGGUGCUGCAUGGCUGUCGUCAGCUCGUGUCGUGAGAUGUUGGGUUAAGUCCCGCAACGAGCGCAACCCUUGUCAUUAGUUGCUACGAAAGAGCACUCUAAUGAGACUGCCGGUGACAAACCGGA